UAGGGAAUAUUGGACAAUGGGUGAGAGCCUGAUCCAGCCAUGCCGCGUGCAGGAAGAAGGCGUUAUGCGUUGUAAACUGCUUUUUGCCAGGGGAUAAAAAGACCGUGCGCGGUUAAUUGAAGGUACCUGGUGAAUAAGCCACGGCUAACUACGUGCCAGCAGCCGCGGUAAUACGUAGGUGGCAAGCGUUGUCCGGAUUUAUUGGGUUUAAAGGGUGCGUAGGUGGCCCUGUAAGUCAGUGGUGAAAUAUCUCAGCUUAACUGAGAGGGUGCCAUUGAUACUGCAGGGCUUGAGUAUGAUUGAGGUAGCUGGAAUGGAUAGUGUAGCGGUGAAAUGCAUAGAUAUUAUCCAGAACACCAAUUGCGUAGGCAAGUUACUAAGUCAUAACUGACGCUGAGGCACGAAAGUGUGGGUAUCAAACAGGAUUAGAUACCCCUGUAGUCCCUGAGCGGGCUGGCAAGGCGCAU
rnacentral:rRNA from 1 species